AUUGAACGCUGGCGGCAGGCCUAACACAUGCAAGUCGAACGAGUGGCGGACGGGUGAGUAAUGUAUGGGGACCUGCCCGAUAGAGGGGGAUAACUACUGGAAACGGUGGCUAAUCCCGCAUACUAUCGGAUGAGCCCAUAUGGGCUUAGCUACUCGGUGGGGUAAAGGCUCAGCUAGGCGACGCUCUCUAGCUGGUCUGAGAGGAUGAACAGCCACAGUGGGACUGAGACACUGCCCAGACUCCGACGGGAGGCACCAGUGGGGAAGAUUGCACAAUGGGCGCAAGCCUGAAGCAGCCAAGCGGCGUGUAUGAAGAAGGCCUUCGGGUUGUAAAGUACUUGCAGUGGGGAGGCGGUACCCGCAGAAUAAGCACCGGCUAACUCCGUGCCAGCAGCCGCGGUAAUUC
rnacentral:rRNA from 1 species